GAAAAGAUAACUUUGUCGCAAGGCCAGAUUAAUUCGUCAAUCGGGGUAAAAUAAUUUGUUUUGCGAUAUAACUGUGAAAUGACAAACUCAUGGUAGUAACAUAACAAAUUGAUCGAGCACUAUUACAAAGUUUCAACUGGUGUUGACAAAAACAAACUUGCGCAUGACUGAUUUAUUUGCGUGACGACUCUUCACAACCGUAUUUGACAAAUCCUCUUCGCGGUCAAUGUAGAAAUGACGAGUUUAAGUCGGCCAUAACGAAUUAUAUUACAAAUUAUUUGCUGAAAAACAAAUCAAUUUGCCCGGUCAAUUUGUUGAGGCAAAAUGCAUGACAAACUUAGCUCCUGAAGACAGUUCGGGACACCCCGCACAUAAUCAGCGUCUUCGAAUCACUCGCCGGUCGCCGUGAUUUUGCUGCGAAGCAAGGCUUGGGUAGAUCGUAAAAGUUUCUUGCAGAGUUUCGCAGGAUUCAUGGUGAGGACCUAAUCACACUGUUCAACCAAGGACUA